rnacentral:rRNA from 1 species
UGCAAGUCGAACGCUCGUAGCAAUACGGGAGUGGCGGACGGGUGAGUAACGCGUGGGAACGUGCCCUGAGGUACGGAAUAACUGCGGGAAACUGCAGCUAAUACCGUAUGAGCCCCGCAAGGGGGAAAGAUUUAUCGCCUUAGGAGCGGCCCGCGUCGGAUUAGCUAGUUGGUGGGGUAAUGGCUUACCAAGGCUUCGAUCCGUAGCUGGUCUGAGAGGACGAUCAGCCACACUGGGACUGAGACACGGCCCAGACUCCUACGGGAGGCAGCAGUGGGGAAUCUUGCGCAAUGGGGGCAACCCUGACGCAGCCAUGCCGCGUGAAUGAUGAAGGCCUUAGGGUUGUAAAGUUCUUUUGCCCGUGACGAUGAUGACGGUAACGGGAGAAUAAGCUCCGGCUAACUUCGUGCCAGCAGCCGCGGUAAUACGA